CAUGAUGCCAGAGCCAGCAGUCCCAGAUGGGAGGCUGAUUCAGCAGGGGUGGCCCUGUCCCGGCCAUUUGAGUCUGUAGUAGGUUUUCUGUAGUAUGUUGUCCUGGCUAUUUGGGUCAGACCAUGGUGCCUUGGGCGGUGGUGGGCUUACCUCUUGGAAAGGGACAUGACUGCCAGUCACUCUGAGGACUUACGGCUGAGGAAGACUUGUCCUCUGUCUCAGCAGGUGGCUUCUGUGGGCCCACAGCAUGUGCAGGUAGGUCUCCUGGAAGUGGUUAGGUCCCCGAGGCUGAGCUCAGGACAGAGGGUUCUUUAAGCACCAACUCUGGAACAGAGGGGUCUCUCAGUUGCUGGCCCAGGGAUCCACCCCCAUUUCCUGAGCAUGGCUGCUGACGAAGUUUGUCUUCUACAUGAGGACGGUGGAGGGCACCACAGGAGGAGAAACAGCCUGCAGAGCUGGACCGUGUGCCUCGCACAGGUUCCCCCUCUCAUCCACGCCGACGGCUGGCCACGGGCCAGGCUCCUCCUGGAUGCUGGGCUCGCGUAGUGGACAACGCAGCAUUCCCAGAACAGAUGGAGUGCUGAAAGCAACAUUACUUAGUUAAUCAUGCAAAGUGCAAAGUGCAUGAAAUAUAAAGACCGUAACAGGGCGUCCUCGCCUGUGAGGGGACAGGAGAGGGGGGGCGAGGGGAAGAAGCAGUUAGGAAAGACUUCACCAAGCCAAGAGCGGGAGUUAGGAAGUAGGUGACAGGGACUAUUGCAAGGGGCACCUUGCAUGCAGAGGACGUGGGGUGCCAAGAGGCAUGAGAUAUAAGAAUUGCAAGUAGAGCCAACAUAGAACAAAGGGUGGUGGGCAGGAUGUGCUGACCAGAAAGGGGCAGAGGCCGAGGACACAACUCAGGCCACACAAAGACCAGGAUGAUUAGGUUACCAGGGGAAAGCCGCAGUGAACGCACACUCUGGCUUUGGUAUGGUAGGGAGGAGCACAUCUGUCACCAGCAUCGGAGCAGGAGCACACAGCUGGGUGGGUCCUCUGGAGGUCCCCAGUAUGACUGGCCCCGGGUGCCCAAGUCUGUCCCAUCAUUGGCUUCCUUCCCUUUCCACCUCCCUGCCUGUCCCGUUCCUGACGCCAUCUCCCAGAACUGCCGCCGGACCUGACUUCUGGCCGCAGGGGUCUGCUGCUGCGAGAAAAGACCCUGAGACAGGAGAGGGUGGGGGUGGGACACGCGUACACUGUCACAUCUCCAGCAGACCCCAAGCUUGGGCAUCCUUCUGUGCCAUGGUAGUUGAACUCCAUGCUGGCUAACUCGCUUUAGAGGGGGAAAGGGGCUCCGAUGUUGGGGGGCAGAGGAAGACAAGCCGAGCGGGCUGAGAGGAUGUCCUCGUGGGACAGAGGGUCUGGCUGUGGAGCCUUCAGUACAGAGACCUCCCCAAAGGGCUGCUCAGACACGUGGAAGCAUAUUUCCACCUUUGAGAAAGUUGUGGAGGAACAGCUCACGUGACACUUGAAAACCAUCUGGGUUUCUGUAAUUCUGUGUCAUUGUCCCGUGUAGUAAUGGAGUGACUUCAGCAAGAGGUUGGGCAAUGCGGCUCACCCAGCAGGUUCAAAGUCCCUGCCUGGCGUGCGUCUGAGGCUGCUCCUGGGUGCAGUGCCAGCACUUCUGGUGGACUUCACCAAGGCACUGAGGACAGGGUACUGCUCACCGGCCUCGAGCGGGUUGGGUGCCCAGACGUGCAGAACUGUUGGCACGACUUUAGCCCUACUGAACAUUAAAUGGGGUUGCAUUAUUGUUGUUAUCUUCAGGAUGAGGAAGUUGACACAGGAGCAAAGUGACCUGCCUGAUUUCUGGUUGCGUCCACCUCUGAUGGUAAAUCCGAGGUGGACACCCAGGCUGCUGCUCCUCUGGCGUUUCCCUGGCAUGAAUUGAAUUAGAAAUGAGCAGAAUCCGUAGGUUUGUCCCAGGUUGGUGUUUCCUGGUUGACAAGGAAGUGCUACUGGAACAGAAGGAUGUUUCUGGGAAGUUCUGCUCUAUCCCGGGAGCCGUGGAACUCCACAGUUCCACGGGUUUAUGACAGAGAUACUUUUCUCUCCCACUGACACAUGCUCUUGAAUGCUGAUCUUCAGAGACUACACUGGUCUGACUGGCCAUCAGAACAAAGCCCCAACUGGUUGGAUUUAGCCACAGGUUGGCUUCUCACAGCGCCGGGGCUGAGCCCAGGGUCAAGCUGCUGUGGGUCUGGUGCUCCUGAGCCUCUCCCUGGGCUUGCAGGUGGCCGCCUGGCCCCAUGUCCUCCCACGGCCUUUCUGUGCUCAGCUGCCCUGCGGUCUGCGAGUCCAGAUUUCCUGUUCUCAUGAGCACACAGGUCACGUUGGAAUCAGCCCCCUCCCCAGGGACCCUAAUCCAAUCCCAACCUAAUCACCUAAUCAUUUUAACUUAAUUACCUUUUUGAAAGCUCUCUCUGCAAACCCUUCUUAGUCUCCAGGGUCGGGGUCAGCGACGUGACCUCUCUUAACCUUCCUGACCAGUUUAAAGACCCGUCUGCCCCGUCCUGCAGGGAGGCGGACUUCAACCUGCGCGCCUCCAGGUGGCGAGGAUUCGCCCUGAACAAGCUCUGGCCAGGAGACUUUGGGCUGUUUUUUUCUGAACUCAUCCUAAACCUUGAGCUGAGUGUUCUUGCUUGCGGACUCCAGUUUCAGCAGGAAUCCUGGGCAGUCAGUUGGAGGAGAGUUCCCCCUCAAAUCCCCCACCUCCCACCCUUGGUGUCCGGUCACCCUGGCGCACCCUCAGCCAGAACCCUCUGGAGCGGGCCAAGCCAGAACCCCCCUCAGCCCUGAGGUUUCCUCCUGGUGAUUCCCACCCUGCGCCCGCCCUGCCCGGCUGCUGUGUGUCCACGGGGGCUUGUCCAUGCUCCCUUCCCAGUCGGCCCGGCUCUAUGCUGAGGUCUCUCCCCCCUACCCUAUCUGUGUUUUUGGAAUAGCAUUUAUUUUCAUCUCUUUGCUUCCGUGCAGGACAUACUCAGCCCACAGCAGAGAAGAGGAAGAGGACACACCUGCAGACCCCUCUAAAGUCAGGAGAGGAUCCUCUUGGUCCUCCAACCUUCUCAGGGCAGACCUUGACCUUUCCCAUCAAGGUAAGGGACUUCUGCUCUCUCAGACUCGGUUUCCCCACGUAUAAAAUGGGGAUAGUUCAUCAUGAGGACAAAAGAGUAAGUGCAAGCCAAGUACCUGACACAUAGCUGGCACUCAGGCACAGUUAUCUGCUAUCACUGCUGAAGAUCAUCAAGCUGGUACCUGAAACUGAUAGGACGCAGAUUCCCCCAUUUGGAUUCCUGACAGACUGAUUCGACCCUAUGUCCAGCCUCCGGACCAGAAAGCGGAACAGAUCGUGCCCUCCGAGUCUCCGAUACUCCUCACCAUUGACCACGGUGCCUGAGGAAGAUUUGAUGACUACCUUGAUUCCAUCUUUCUCCCGAAUGAACUUUGAUGGUCCUCAGUCCUUAUUCAGACGAUCAUCUUCUACAAGAUCUGCAGAACUACCAACUUGGGGACAAUUAGAACAAUUGACUCAUCAAGCUCGAGAACUUACUUCUACUCAGUCAAACCCCUGCACUCCUGAGAAAAGAUUCAUUCAGAAGUGAAGCUGCGGUUUUCCACAGUGAAAUGUCUGACGAGAGAGCAGCACCCUCCUCGAUGACUUCAUCGGUCCCGCAGACAUGCCCACCACCGUCCUCACGUCGUCCACGUGAGCAGUGACGUGGUAAAGAAGGAG